rnacentral:rRNA from 1 species
UUUCGCCAGAGAUGAUAAUGACAGUAUCUGGUAAAGAAACCCCGGCUAACUCCGUGCCAGCAGCCGCGGUAAUACGGAGGGGGUUAGCGUUGUUCGGAAUUACUGGGCGUAAAGCGCACGUAGGCGGAUUAGUAAGUUAGAGGUGAAAUCCCAGGGCUCAACCCUGGAACUGCCUUUAAUACUGCUAGUCUUGAGUUCGAGAGAGGUAAGUGGAAUUCCGAGUGUAGAGGUGAAAUUCGUAGAUAUUCGGAGGAACACCAGUGGCGAAGGCGGCUUACUGGCUCGAUACUGACGCUGAGGUGCGAAAGUGUGGGGAGCAAACAGGAUUAGAUACCCUGGUAGUCCACACCGUAAACGAUGAAUGCCAGACGUCAGCAAGUAUACUUGUUGGUGUCACACCUAACGGAUUAAGCAUUCCGCCUGGGGAGUACGGUCGCAAGAUUAAAACUCAAAGGAAUUGACGGGGGCCCGCACAAGCGGUGGAGCAUGUGGUUUAAUUCGAACAACGCGCAGAACCUUACCAACCCUUGA